GACGAACGCUGGCGGCGUGCUUAACACAUGCAAGUCGAGCGGUAAGGCCCUUUCGGGGGUACACGAGCGGCGAACGGGUGAGUAACACGUGGGUGACCUGCCCUUAGCUCUGGGAUAAGCCUGGGAAACUGGGUCUAAUACCGGAUAUGACUCCAUGACGCAUGUUGUGGGGUGGAAAGCCUUGUGCGGCUAGGGAUGGGCCCGCGGCCUAUCAGCUUGUUGGUGGGGUGAUGGCCUACCAAGGCGACGACGGGUAGCCGGCCUGAGAGGGCGACCGGCCACACUGGGACUGAGACACGGCCCAGACUCCUACGGGAGGCAGCAGUGGGGAAUCUUGCGCAAUGGGCGAGAGCCUGACGCAGCGACGCCGCGUGAGGGAUGACGGCCUCGG
rnacentral:rRNA from 1 species